UUCCUGUGUUUUCUUAUUUGACAAAUAGGAGUGUAGUUGAAUCUGGUGUUUGUGCAGCACCAGUUUUUUCUUCAUUAAACAUUGAAAUUGAUUUUGCCAAUAAAUUAAGUUUUGUAUUCCCAGUUAUAUAGAUCAUGCCGUAAAAAGUGUUUCAGACCUCGUUGGUCUGGAAUCGUCUGUUGUGUUGAAUAUCGCCUAUAGGAUUGACUAUAAUUGCAGCAGUCCCAGUGGAAGGCCAACUAUGGAUAAGCGGUGCUAUGGCUGUGCUUCAAAGUUCACUCUUUUCAAAAAAGAGUUGGGCUGCAAAAACUGUGGACGCUCAUUUUGUUCAGGGUGUCUAACGUUUAGUGCGUUGGUGCCGCGCUACGGUAACACUCAGCAAAAAGUCUGCAAGCAGUGCCAUGGCAAUCUCACAAGUGGUGGAAAACAGAAUGAUGCUGCAAGAUGGUCACCACCUGAAAACUACAAAAAGCGGGUUGCUGCCCUUGAAGCCAAACAGACUCAACCUCAUCAUCCUCCAAGACAUGCUAGUGGAACGAAUAAUACAUCAGCUCUCAUUUCAACCAAGGGGCUUAGUAAGGAGGACCAAGCGAUUGCACAACGACUCCAGAAGCUGAAAGAGGAAACAAAACCAAAAUCCAUACCAUCUGAGAAGGAGAUAGAGACUCGUCUUGCUGCACUGAAAGCUCCAGAUCAGACAGUGCCUUCAGCUCGAGAGAUGGAAGACCGUUUGGCUGCUUUACAAGGAAGACCUUCUCCUUCCCAAGCUCCUCCAUCAGUUCACCAGCCACCUGAUAGCAGGACUCAAACCGAACAGGCCAAUGACUUAAUCACGCAGAUGACAGAGGAAGUUGCCAUUGACAGACAACAAUGUCCCGAUGCUGAUACCUCAGAGCAUCCAGUCACAUCCCUAAACGAUCUCAACAAGGAAGCAGGCGGGACACUGGAUGAGAAUUUGGAUGAUGAGCAGCUGUCACUCAAGCAGAUAGAGGAGGAAAAGAGCCGCUUGCUGGCUGAGGCCAUGGAGGAGCUGAAACGAGAGGAAAACUGCCAGACGCAGCUUCUUCAGGUAGCCAAGAGACUGGCUGUGCUGCAGGGGCGAGACCCGGACAAAGUCACUAUGACCGACUUCCAGCAACCUGACAGUGAUGAAGAGACCGAGGAGGAAGCACUCGCCAGGAUUCUAAAAAGGCUGUCGGAAGAGACUGCUUUAGAUGAAGCCAGUGGUUAUAACAUCCCUCCAGAGCACAGUGGCCCAGAAAAUAAAGAAAAGUCCAAUUCCAAUAAGAAGCAGAUUCCAUCCCAGUCAUCUAAAACAAAGCCUCCUGCUGUCUCUGUCAACUGGAGUGCCACACGUUAUGAGGAGGAAGAUGAUGAUGAGGAAGAUGAGCUGCCCUGGUGCUGUAUCUGUAAUCAGGAUGCCACCAUUCGGUGCCACACAUGUGACCAGGACCUGUACUGCAGCCGCUGCUUCAGGGAAGGCCAUGAUGAAUAUGAUCGAAAAGAACACCGCACGUCCAGUUACACAGCCCCUAAGAAAAGCAAGAAGAAGAAAGGAUCCUCAAAGUGCAGCUAAAAUGUGUCACUACCAAUCCGAAUGUGUCAGUACAGCUAAUAAAUUCAUUUCAAAGGUCGCAAUGCAUCAGGAGCCUUUCCUGGAAGCACUGAGGCAAGCACGAGACCAUCCAUUUCACAUAAGCAUAGACAGUGAACCCUAACCACAAGCACUGGUACACUCUGCACCACCAUGCUGCCCUAGUAAUGUUUAGUAUACACCUAAAUGUAGGUUUGUGUGUUAAAGACUUUUUCCUAACUGAGCACUAAAAUGAAUUGAGCAAAUUAUUAUUUAAAUAAAAUAAAAUUAUUGGAAAACAAACCCAAAAAGAAAAGUCUUCUUUCACUUCCGCUAGGGACAGUUGUGGCAUCGCACAGAAAAGGUGUUUAGUAGAAACUGAACAAAGGCACAGUGAUACAUUGUGGUAUAUGUAAAAUUAACACUUUGCAUUCAAAUACAGGAAGUGAUAUCUCCCUAUGCUGAAAAAAAACUAAUUCAUGGAUCAACGUAUUUAAAUUAAAAACAGAAUUUCCAAUUAAGUAAAAUAAGAAAGUUCAUCAUAAUGUAAAUAUGUACAGAAUGGCAGGUUUAUGUUAAACACAUUAAAUAAACUUAAUUUAUUGUAGUAACAUGAACGUUAUAUCAGUAUGUAAACACUACAUAAGGCUAAGAUCACUUUUUUAGAGUGUACAUGGUGGAAUUACCCCAGGUAAUAAGAGAAGAGUAGUGAGUAAAGUUUUUAAUUGAUUUAAUCAUGUCUCGUGGGCUGUCUGUGUCAGUCAGUAAAGCACUAUGACAGUUGCUUGAAGUCUUUGUAAAGGCUUUAUUUCCAAGCACAAAUUCUAGACUUUCAUGUGAUCAGCACCAAAGAGGUUACUGAGUUUCAGCUGUGUCUGUCUGGUGGCUUGUGGGAUUCGUGCGGUUAUGUUUAACAGAGACAUGAGUCACUACACUAUUCAACCCCCACCCCCUUCCCUCUCUCUCUCUCUCUCUCUCUCUCUCUCUUGCUAAUUCUCCUAUCUGAUCCAGGAUUGUUAUACAACAUCAAUGUAUCAUAUUUUUCCUAUUGGAUUUUUUGGAUGCUUUAUUAAUUGUACUGUGAUUGUACUGGCAGGAAUUUAAAUGAAUUUAAAGCGAGCUGCUAUGAGUAGAAUGACCAUCACAGAUGCGGAACAAAUGUAAUAGGAAGAGAUGAGUGCAUUAGCAGGCAUUACAGACCAACUCUUGGGACAUAUAAUCAAUGGUGGUCCAUCAUAGCAGGAUGAAUGUAAAAGGGGGAGAUGAGUGGAGAGGAAGUGCUCCAGCGUUAUAGGGCUUAACUAUAGUGAUCCAUUAGGACACUAAUCACGCACUUAAACAAAAAAAAAAAAAAAAAAAAAGGAGAACAGGCUUGUUGUCUCACUGACCAAAAAAUAAUUUGAAGUCUAAAAUUGCUUGUUUAAAAGGCUACAUUCAUGUAAGAGUGCCUAUUGCAUGUUGUGGUUGCUAUAGUGAUGAGAGCAACUUCUCAAAUGUCCUUGUGGCAGGCUGCUUGUGUGUAAUAAUAUUACGUUCAGACAUUUUUGAUUGCUCUCUGUUGUGAAACAAAGUUGGCAUUCCUUAAUUCUGAGGUAAAUUUUGAGGUCAGUAUCUUCUCUUAGCAGGGGUGGAAAAUACUUGAGUAAUUGUACUAUACUUAAUACUUAGUAUAUAUUAUCUUGGUGUAUUUUUUUCUUUAUAUGAUUAUUAUUAAAAUUGUAUGAUUGUAA